UCUAGAACCCGAGAUAUAGACAGAAAACUAAACAAUGUCUGGGCUGUAGGAUAGAUUCAAACUUCUCUUUUGAUACUAAGAUUUGGACUCCAAAACAGCAAAAUUGAGUCUUGGACUCUUCAUCAAUAUUUUAGGCCUAUGUCUUAGCUUUCUAGC
rfam:Populus trichocarpa scaffold_12_contig_96, whole genome shotgun sequence.